rnacentral:lncRNA from 1 species
CAUGAAAUUUGGUGCCAUGACUCGGUUCGGGGAACCUCCCUUGGUAGAUCAAUCCCCUGUCCUCCUGCUCUUUGCUCCGUGAAAAAGAUCCACCUACAACCUCGGGUCCUCAGACCCACCAGCCCAAGGAACGUCUCACCAAUUUUAAAUUGGGUAAGCGGCCUUUUCUUACUCUCUUCUCCAACCUCUCUCACUAUCCCUCAACCACUUUCUCCUUUCAAUCUUGGUGCCACCCUUCAAUCUCUCCCUUCUCUUAAUUUCAAUUCCUUUCAUUUUCUGGUAGAGACAAAGGAGACACGUUUUAUCCAUGGACCCAAAACUCCAGUGCCGGUUCAUGGACUCAGGAAGGCAGCCUUCCCUUGGUGUUUAAUCAUUGCAGGGACACCUCUCUGAUUAUUCACCGACGUUUCAGAGGUGUCUGACCACACGGGGCAUCUGCCUUGGUCCUUCACCCUUAGCGGCAAGUACCACUUUUCUGGGAGGCAAGAACCCCCCAACUCCUUCUCUCCAUGUCUCUACCCUUUCUCCACUUUUCUGGGGCCAAGAACCCCCCAACCCCUUCUCCUUCACCCUUAGCGGCAAGUACUGCUUUUCUAGGGGGCAAGAACCCCCGAUCCCUUAUUGCCAUGCCCCAACCUCUUAUCUCUGUGCCCUGAUCCCUUAUUUCCAUGCUCCAACCUCUUAUCUCUGUGCUCCGAUCCCUUAUUUCCAUGCCCCGACCUCUUAUCUCUGUGUCCCAGCCCCUUAUUUCCACGCCUCAACCUCUUAUCUCUGUGCCCCAACCCCUUAUUUCCAUGCCCCGACCCCUUUCCCGCUUUUCUGGAGGGUAAGAACCCCCGAACCCCUUCCCUCCAUGUCUCUACUCUCUCUUUUCUCUGGGUUUGCCUCCUUCACUAUGGGCAACCUUCCACCCUCCAUUCCUCCUUCUUCUCCCUUAGCCUGUGUUCUCAAGAACUUAAAACCUCUUCAACUCACAUCUGACCUAAAACCUAAACGCCUUAUCUUCUUCUGCAACACCGCUUGGCCCCAGUGCAAACUUGACAAUGGCUCUAAAUAGUCAGAAAACGGCACUUUCGAUUUUUCCAUCCUACAAGAUCUAGAUAAUUCUUGUAAAAUGGGCAAACGGUCUGAGGUGCCUGACGUCCAGGCAUUCUUUUACAUAUCAGUCCCUCCCUAGUCUCUGUUUCCAAUGCAACUCAUCCCAAAUCUUCCUUCUUUCCCUCCUGCCUGUCCCCUCAGUCCCAGCCCCAAGUGUUGCUGAGUCUUUCUAAUCUUCCUUUUCUACAGACCCAUCUGACCUCUCCCCUCCUCGCCAGGUGGAGCUAGGUCCCAAUUCUUCCUCAGCCUCGGCUCCUCCACCCUAUAAUCCUUUUAUCACCUCCCCUCCUCACACCCGGUCUGGCUUACAGUUUCAUUCCGCUUCUAGCCCUCUCCCACCUGCCCAGCAAUCUCCUCUUAAAAAGGUGUCUGGAGCUAAAGGCAUAGUCAAGGUUAAUGCUCCUUUUUCUUUAUCCAACUUCUCCCAAAUCAGUUAGUGUUUACACUGUUUUUCAUCAAAUAUAAAAAACCCAGCCCAGUUCAUGGCUCGUUCGGCAGCAACCCUGAGACGCUUUACAGCCCUAGACCCUAAAAGAUCAAAAGGCCGUCUUAUUCUCAAUAUACAUUUUAUUACCCAAUCUGCUCCCAACAUUAAAUAAAACUCCAAAAAUUAAAUUCCAGCCCUCAAACCCCACAACAGGACUUAAUUAACCUGGCCUUCAAGAUGUACAAUUCCUUGCCUCCACUGUGAGACAAACCCCAGCCACAUCUCCAGCACACAAGAACUUCCAAAUGCCUAAACCACAGUGGCCAGGCAUUCCUCCAGGCCCACCUCCCCCAGGAGCUUGCUACAAGUGCCAGAAAUCUGGCCACCAGGCCAAGGAAUGCCUGCAGCCCAGGAAUGCCUGCAGCCCAGGAUUCCUCCUAAGCCGUGUCCCAUCUGUAUGCGACCCCACUGGAAAUCAGACUGUCCAACUCACCCCCUAGAGCCCCUGGAACUCUGGCCCAAGGCUCUCUGACUCCCUCCCAGAUCUUCUUGGCUUAGCGGCUGAAGACUGAUGCUGCCUGAUAGCCUCGGAAGCCCCCUAGACCUUCACGGAUGCCAAGCUUCAGAAAAGCUAUUUUCCAAGAAGAAAAAGAAAAUGGAAGUACAAAUUUCCAACAGCACACAUUUUCUCUGCUCUCUCCUUGGCUCUGAAAGAGGAUGCGUGAAACAGAAUUUCAGGCUGUAAUUAAUGCAGCUCUUCAUAAGAUAAGAGGUUCUUUUAUCUACAGAAAAAUUGCUGCACUAAUUCCCAACAAGAAGUGCAAUGCUCCGGUUAAUGCUCUUUCUACAAGAAGAAUUCACCUUUUCUACCCUCUACAUAUUUACAGACAAAUUUGAAUAUUUUGUUAUGGGAAACUGAAGAUGGGUAAACAUACAAUGAUAAUAGUACUUUAUAGGGCUAAAUCUAAAAGCCUUAAAGAUUAAUAUUAUGUUUGGAUAAAUGCUGAAUAAGUUUACAUAAAGAAUUUUCAAAUAACAUUGACGCUACAGGCAUGUACUUGUAAGCACAGACCUUAAUUGGGCACAACUUAGAUCCAGCACUCUUUGAGGGGGAGAAUAAACAAAUUGGGAAAUGCAUCCUCAUUUGAUACAGUGAGGAAAAAGAGCUAUGGUUCCUUGCUCUGCUUUAAAGUACUGUCCAAAGAAGGAUGAAGCCCCGCUAUUUCAUUUUGAUUUAAAUAUUUCCUUGUAGAAUGCACAUUCCAAUUUGGAAACAAUACUUUCUAUAUGUAUGUUUCAUGUAUGUGCUUGGAAUAAUUGGUAAUGUGUUGGCACUGUGUUCCACUUAAAUGCAUGGCAUUUGUAUACUAUUUAAUGUUUUGUUGUUGUUGUUGUUUUUGAGAUGGAGUCUCAGUCUGUUGCCCAGGCUGGAGUGCAAUGGUGUGAUCUAGGCUCACUGCAACCUCUGCCUCCCGGGUUCAAGCAAUUCUCCUGCCUCAGCCUCCUGAGUAACUGGGAUUACAGGCGCCUGCCACCACGCCUGGCUAAUUUUUUUUUUUUUUUUUUUUUUUUUUUUUUUUUUUUUUUUUAGUAGAGAUGGGGUUUCUCCAUGUUGGCCAGACUGGUCUUGAACUCCUGAACUCAGGUGAUCCACACACCUUGGCCUCCCAAAGUGCUGGGAUUACAGGCGUGAGCCACUGCACCGGCCUUUUAAUGUUUUCUUAAAAACCAGUUUUCUAAGAAAAAAAGAAGAAUGGGAAUACAGCAAAUGAGUAGAAGACAGAGAUCACAAGAAUCGUGCCUGAGGUCCUGGCAAAGAAGACCCCACUAUCUCAGCUCAAGAAGUCAGAACCCAUAGGUGAAAUUGUAGGGAUAACACCAGCUCAGUGUAAAGAAUUUCCAACAUAAACAGCUACUGCAUAACAGAAUGAACUGCCAUGGAAGAAUACAACAUCCAGUCAAGGCAUGUAGUCAAGGAAGAGCAGAUAACCAUCUGCAAGAGGAUUUCAACACUGGACCAGACAGUCCUAUAGUAAGUUGAAGUCUAAGACCCUAUAAUUAUGUGAUAUUGGAGAUUUAAUGUUUACAAUAUUAUUGUCAUUCCAUCUGGUUCCUGGUACUAAGUCUUUGUUUUUUGUUUUGUUUGUUUGUUUUUCUUUUGGAAACAGGGUCUCGCUCUGUCACCCAGGCUGAAGUGCAGUGGCAUGAUCUUGGCUCACUGCAGCCUCAACCUCCCAGGCUCAAGCAAUCCUCCCACAUCAGCCCCCCAAGUAGCUGGGACUACAUCCAUAUGCCACCAUGCCUGUUUAAUUUUUGUAUUUUUUGUAGAGAUGUGGUUUCACCAUGUUGCCCAGGCUGGUCGCGAACUUCUGAGCUCAGGCAAUCCACUCACCUUGGCCUCCCAAAGUGCUGGGAUUAUAGGCAUGAGCCACUGUGCCUGGCCUGUGGUACUAAGUCUUCCCUGACAUUUUGUCAGUAAAGGUCAAAGUCACUGGAAAUGGUCACUGCACCUAACCUAAGUGUCAGUUUCCUGAUCUAUAGAGUAGAGGAUUUGAUGAAUUUAUCUCUAGAAUUCUGUCUACUUCUAGUCAGAUUCUUCACUGACAUGAAGUCACCACUGUGUAUCUACCUUACUAACCUUUUUUGGUUAACAUGUGGGAAAUUUAAUAAAUUCCUGACAUUUUUCAACAACAUUUAUAACCUUUGGGGAUCAGUUCAUUUUCACCAAUUCAAUUUUAGUCAUCUUGAUUGCUUUUGUCAGAGGGGAAAAAUAAUGUCACAUAAUUAAAAUAAUAAAUAACCUCCC